GAUGAACGCUAGCUACAGGCUUAACACAUGCAAGUCGAGGGGUCUUUAGGGCUUGCUCUAGAGACGACCGGCGCACGGGUGAGUAACGCGUAUCCAACCUGCCCUUCAUAUUGGGAUAGCCUUCCGAAAGGGAGAUUAAUACCCGAAUAACAUGAUGUUUUUGCAUGAUUUCAUCAUGAAAGCUCCGGCGAUGAAGGAUGGGGAUGCGUUUCAUUAGGUAGUAGGCGGGGUAACGGCCCACCUAGCCAACGAUGAAUAGGGGUUCUGAGAGGAAGGUCCCCCACACUGGAACUGAGACACGGUCCAGACCUCCGUACGGGAGGCAGCAGUGAGGAAUAUUGGUCAAUGGGCGCAAGCCUGAACCAGCCAAGUAGCGUGAAGGAUGACUCG
rnacentral:rRNA from 1 species